rnacentral:rRNA from 1 species
UACGUAGGGUGCGAGCGUUGUCCGGAAUUACUGGGCGUAAAGAGCUCGUAGGUGGUUUGUCGCGUUGUCCGUGAAAACUCACAACUCAAUUGUGGGCGUGCGGGCGAUACGGGCAGACUGGAGUACUGCAGGGGAGACUGGAAUUCCUGGUGUAGCGGUGAAAUGCGCAGAUAUCAGGAGGAACACCGGUGGCGAAGGCGGGUCUCUGGGUAGUAACUGACGCUGAGGAGCGAAAGCGUGGGUAGCGAACAGG